AUGCGCUAUGAUGAGCGAUACACACCGUAUGUAAGGGAGAAAGGACUUCUCCCUUUCAUUCAGAUGGUCAGACGGUCGACGCCACCCAACAAUGCUCCAGCACUCACCGCGCUUAUUGAUCAUUGGAGGCCGGUGACACACAGUUUCCAUCUUCGGACCGGGGAGAUGACCGUGACGCUCCAGGAUAUUGCUAUGAUCACCGGUCUUCCUAUCGAUGGGAAUCCUCUAUUUAUGAGCACCGAUUCUGAUGGGUGGCGCGCGCAGAUGAAUGCCCUUAUUGGUAUGGUUCCUCCGGAGCCUCGGGAACCAGCAGCAGAAGACAAGAAGGAAAGAGUCACAGCCCGUGCUCCUUUCACAUGGAUUACUGAGCACUUUGGUACUUGCCCUCGGGAAGCUAAUGAGGACACGGUCAAGACAUAUGCUCGUGUCUACAUGUGGUACGUGAUAUCCAGGACUAUGUUUGCUGAUGGCACAGGCAAGAAUGCUCCAUGGAUGUGGAUGACGGCUUUGACCGUCUUCGAUAGCAAUUGGAUUUGGGGUUCGGCGACACUGGCUUACUUGUAUAGACAGGUAUGA
rnacentral:rRNA from 1 species